UUAUCUAUACAUCUAUAUAAAGCAUCUCCGUACAAAAAUGUAAUUUCCGGACGUCAUACGAAAAGUCAUGCCUCAAUGAUUUCUUUGGGUUUUUUGAUCACCGAGUGUGUAAUCGAUUUCCUAAUUUUCGCAUUGAAUGCAAUUGAAGACGUGGAUUGAAUCCCAUUUAACCCUUUCAUCCAUGGAAUUCUAGAACCCUGCAUCUUGUAUAUCACAUUUAUAUCAAUGACUUGAACCGUCCAUUAUCAAGCACAAAUCAUCGAGUCUUUGAGAUGCGUAUUACUAGGGUUUAGAAUGUUGACCUGGCCGGAAAAUGAUGCCAUUGUUUCGCCGGCCACAGGCUCUGCUGCUCAGGCGCCGGUCUCACCAGGUUUCAAUGUAAGAUUGUAAGUCAAAGAGAUAUGGGUGGACAAAAAAAGUGUUGAAGAUCCACCCUCGUUGGAAAAUUAUUUGUUGAUUUGGUCUGUGGACUCAAGUAGAUAAUCGUGAAAUAAUCAUGAACUAGCGUCAGGUGGAAAUGAUAACAGGAAACGAUAACAGGCUAAGGGUGCCCGGGGCACAAUUGGUGACCCCAUGCGGGGACCGAUUUCACCGAGCGGUGAGGUGCCGCCGGUGCAGCGGGGAGCCAAAAACAGGGAGCCAAAGCGGUGAGGAGGCACCGAAGAGAGGGAAGGAGAGAGAAGCUUUUUGUUUGUAACCAACAAUCAAGACAACUUGUUUUAGCCUAUUCCAAAGAACGUUACGAGAGUGACAUGUAGACAAAAUGAAGGGAUAAAUGGGAUGAGCACUUUCACCCGAACAUGCAUGGUGAGAAUGGUGGAACAAGACCUGAGGCGAAGGUCACAAUGGCUCUGGUUAGGUCCACAAAUAUGGCAACAGCAGUUGUGGUCAACACUAGGACACCCAUGUCCAACAAGACACCUGGUAUGAGAGAUUUCCUCAUUAUGGUUUCUAUCAUUGCUCUGCAACUCCAUCCCUUUGCGUCAGGUCAAGAAUCCUUCUGAGAGGUAACAUGUUUGUAGAUCAUCUGCUGAAGCUGUCUGUAAUAAAUAAUAACAACUCCCAUUAAAUAUGUAAUCUGUUGUGGACACAUUUAUAAUGUAUUAACAUAUGAUGCUUUUCAAGGAUAAUUAACCGAUAGUACUUAGGAGUCUGAAUGCACCAAAACUUGCCCUUUGCCCCAUUACCAAGCCAUCCCAUGUUUCCAUCUCUGUUAAUUCCAAGCGUGUUUGCUAACUUGUUAGGAUUUACUUCUCUUGUGUUAAUUGCUGGCAGUGGAAUUUUCGUAUUGGUUUCACUCCUAGGGAGGGUUAGCUCAUUUAUUCUGUUGCAUAUGUUGACGGUAAUCAAGGUUAGAGGCCUGUGGCUCACAGAUUAAGCUAUGUAGAAAGGGUGGUUCCUUAUGGUGACCCCAAUCCUCAUUACAGAGAGAAUACAUUUGAU